GUUAACAUGUAUACCGAAAAUGCCCUCCGCCGACUCGUGGUCAAAGUAUAAAGAAGAGGGUUUUGCUCUCAAUUGUCAUUUCCCUCAUUCCCAUCCUCACCGCACUCUCCAAUGGCGAUGAAAUCUGCCGACUUUCGUCUUUGCUUUCUUGCGAGUCCCUUUCCUCAUUUCUUGGCACUUUUGCUACCAAUGUUUCUGUUUCCCCACUACUAACCAGUACGCUUGCCCCAUCCAGUGAACCCCAGAGGCAGAAAACCUAGUUUACCUCUGUUUAUCCAUCGAUUACACAAUUUUCUUCAGCGUUUCGAGCUCUUCCGGGACAACACGUCGCUGAUUCUUUUCCGACAAUUCUGGUCGACCUUGCUUUUUCCGCUGAUCGGUACCCGAUACCGACACGAUCCGGGUCUGAAUCCUACAGUUUAAGAAGUAUUGCUUCAAGAACGCAUGUAGUGCUCAUCUUACGACGAUGGCCAUGGUUUCUGCUGAUUCUUCUCCGAAAAUUCUGGUCGACUUUGCUUUUUUCUGCUGAUCAGAACCCGAUACCGACACGAUUCGGGCCUGAAUCCGACAGGUUAUGAAGGAUUGUUGCAAGGGAGUGCAGGACAAUCAUAUGCAUGCUUCUUGAUCCCAACCAUGAACGGCCCGACACAUCAAACCUAUAGAACCAGAAAGAUUGGCGUCUCAUUGACAUUUCAACGUUCUCUGAAAAUCUGUGAUGCAUGACCAUACUGUUGUGAGUCCAUCGAUACAAUCAAUCUGAUGCGUUCGGCAGAAUAAGCUGUCCAAAGUGGCUCUCAGCUGAUUAUACUUUCAGGCCGCUCUUAUGUAGCCUGCCCAUCAACAUGUUGUUCAGAACGGCUUGCGAAUGUCAGAUUGCAUAGGGUCUGAUCUGAUACAACUCAGAUCUUUAGCGAACAAUAGUUUUCUUGUUUGAUUGGAUAUGCUGCAAGUUUUCCAACUCGUGGCCAAGUGAUAGUAGAGGAUGAAAUUCUGUAGCCGAAGCCUACUUGGUUGACUCUUGAUCAUUAAGUUCUUUGAAUUCCACUCCGUUACUUAUCUUGCAGAUAAUUGAGAUAUGCAAUUCAAGAAAGGAGGUUGUUGAUCUUGCAUUCACUGCGUAAGAUUGGUUGACAGACCUUUUGACGAGGUGAGAAAUACACACUGCCAGGAGCCCCGUGUAUUACUCUCAUCUUCUCCAGUUGGCAAGAGAAUAACUGUCUUUACGGCUAAGCGGUUAGAAAACUUUGGGUUAAUCGAAUUAAGGCCUCUAGUGCAACAAACUCUCGUUAUGGAAGAAACUUGAACUGGCAAUUCUGGAGACCCUUUGUGGAGUGCUGUUCAAAGAUUCAUCCAGCGUUUUUCUUGUUUCUGAGAAACUUCGUGGCGAGGUGAACUCACGAGCUGUUCGCAAGGCGCUCUUAGCUAAGAAUAAACUUGGAUUUAUUCUCGGUACUCUGCUGCAACCUCUGGACAAUGAGGAGGACUCAAGUUCGUGGUUGCGUUGUAAUGCCAUGGUAUGCACUUGGUUGAUUAACUCCAUUUCUCCUGAUAUUCACAGUCUGAUUUCUUAUAUGAAAGAUGCUCAUGAGAUCUGCCAACAUUUACAGAACUAUUUUUUUAGGACAAAUGUUUCUAAGAUAUACACUAUUCAGCACCAAAUUGACUGCCUAUAUCAGGGUUCUCUAGAUCUGAAUUCGUAUUUCACAAAACUAAAUGCGUUAUGGGAAGAAUUGAAGCACUAUGAGCCUUUACCUGUCUGUUCUCGUAAGGGUUGCACGUGUAGGGGUUGUAAGUGUCGUAUUGUUGAUCAGUGAUCUACUUUGUUUGCAAGAAGGAAUGUUGUGCGGUUCUUAAUGUGUUUGAAUGAAUCAUUCUCUGCUGCUAGACGCCAGAUCUUGAUGUCUGACCCCUUACCUGACAUUACUAGAGUUUACAACCUUGUUGCUCAGGAAGAACAACAGAAACUGACUGUUUCUUAUGUUCCUGAUACAGAAGAACAACAGCAACUGAAUGCUUCUUCAUACUCUUUUCCUUUUUUAACCCCACCUCCUAAAACACCUAAACCAUCUGAUGGAGUCCCAGAUUCCUCCUGACGGUCGAUGUGAGACUCCAUCUUCCUCAACCACUUCAAAUCGCCCUCCCUUAUUUGUACACAUUGUGGAAUGUCAUGCCACCUUAUUUCACGUUGUUUUCGCCUUCAUGGAUAUCCAAUGGGUCAUAAGUCUAACCCAGGUUGGAAUCCUCAUUCACCUUCUUCUUCCAAGCCUAGACCUCAGUCUUCUGACAGAGUUAAUUUGGUUCAGAUUCCAUUGACACUAUUGCUAUGGCAAAGUCUGUUGUUGCUGGCCAUACAGGACGUAAUACUUUAGAUCAGGUACACUCGCUUCUAUCUCAACUGCUCUCUCACCAAAAGGGUUCGAGCUCUACCUCCAUAGAUUCAAAUUUUGCACUAUCCUCAUCAGGUAUUUUGCCUAUUUUUCAUUCUGUUUUCACCACAUUUGCUUCUAGACUUACAUUUCCAUAUGUUGUUUGGAUUUUAGAUACUAGUUCUAGUACACAUGUUUUUUGUGAUUUAGCUUUGUUUUCUUAAGUACAUGACAUACUUACAGUAGCUGUUUCUCUCCCAAAUCGGACUUCCAUCCCUGUCACUCAGGCUGGAACUGUUAUCAUUUCACCUUCUGUCUUCUGUUUUGUUCAUACUUUUCAUUACAAUCUUCUUAGUGUCAGUUGUCUAACUCAACAUUCUUCAUGUUCUGUGCAUUUUUUUCGUGACUCUUUCCUCAUUCAUGACCUUACUUAGGGAUUGAUGAUUGACAAGGGUAGACAGAUCCAAAAUCUUUAUAUCUUUGAGAUGUUGCACACAUCUCCCACAUCGGUUUCUCUGUCCAAUCCAUUAUGCAUUUCUCUUUCUGCUACCACCUUUGAUCUUUGGCACCACCAUCUUGGUCACCCUUCUGACAUACGUGUUCAAUCUCUUGACAAGUCUUCACAUCUCACCUUCGCUUCUUCAGCAAAUAGCCCUUCUUCAUGUCUCCUCCAGCUAAGCAAAAGCAUGUGUCAUUUCCAGAUUCUUCUCAUGUUUCUAAAUUUCCUUUUGAGUUACUUCAUGUUGAUGUUUGGGACCCUUGUUCUGUAGAUGAUCACCAUUUUUUUCUUUCUAUUGUUGAUGACUACAGUCGUUGUACAUGAGUUUACCUUCUAAAAUCAAAAAGUGAUGUUUUAUAGAAAUUUCCCGAGUUCAUUUCUUUUGUUGAAAAUCAAUUCAAUGCUUCUAUCAAGUGUGUUAUGUCUGAUAAUCCCCCUAAACUUGCAUUCAAAUCUUUGUUUGCAAAGAAAGGGAUUCAUCAUCAGUUUUCAUGCCCUACACUCCUCAACAAAAUUCAAUUGUUGAGAGAAAACAUCAGCACAUACUUAAUGUUAAUAGAGCUCUUCUUUUUCAAUCACAUGUUCCUUGUCUUAUUGGGGUGACUACAUUCUUACCUCUGUCUAUUUGAUCAAUAGAACCCCUUCACCUAUUUUGCAAAACCAAAUUCCUUUUGAAAUGCUCACAGGCAUUUCUCUUACUUAUUUCCAUUUGCGUGUCUUCGGUUGUCUCUGUUACAUGUCUACUUUGACCAAAGACAAACAUAAUUCAGUCUUCGGACUAUGUCUGCGGUUUUCUUGGAUAUCCGCAUGGUGUCAAAGGUUAUAAAGUGUUUGAUCUUGAGUCUAAUGCUGUGAUUAUUUCUAGGAAUGUAGUUUUUCACGAGACAACAUUUCCUUUCAAAAUUGAUUCUUCAUCAACCAGCCUCAGAUUCCUUUCCAAGUCUUGUUUCUCCCUUCCUUUUUUAGUCUGUUUCUCCAUGUGCUUUACCUUCUGUCCAUGCCACCGACUCUUCUUCCAUUGCACAUGACACUAUCACUCAUCCUUCUUCUUCUCCUUUGGUCUCUUUUGAAACAGAUACACAUAGUAUUGACACUGAUUUUUCAAAAAACAUUUCUAUAACAUAGCGUUUGUGUAAAAUCACUACCUAUCUUUUAGAUUACCAUUGUUAUCUCAUUCAUCAUAAACCACCUCCACCUUCUACUCCUGCCACUCCUUACCCUUUAUCAGCUUGUUUAUCAUAUGACCAUUUAUCCCUUGCGUAUCGAAACUUUGCUCUAAAUAUUACCACCGAACCUGAACCUCAAUCAUAUACCCAAGCUGCAAAAUUUGAUUCAUGGAGAAAGGCAAUGACACUUGAGCUGGAGGCUUUGACUAGAACGAACACUUGGUCCAUUAGCUCUAUUCCUGUCGGCAAGAAUGCAAUAGGCUGCAAAUGGGUCUUUAAGACCAAGUACAAUGCUGAUGGUUCUAUUGAAAGAUACAAGCCUAGAUUAGUGGCUAAGGGUUACACUCAAUUGGAAGGGGUGAAUUAUUUAGAAACCUUUAGCCCUUUAACCAAAAUGACCCCUGUUAGAUUAUUGUUGGCAUUGGCUGCGAAAAAUGAUUGGUUGUUGAGCCAAAUGAAUGUUAGCAAUGCUUUUUUGAAUGGAGAUUUAGAUGAGGAUAUAUACAUGAAGCUCUCUCCUGGCUAUUCUGAUCUUCAGGGUGAAAAAGUGUCUUCUGAUUAGGUCUGUAAGUUGCAGCUGUCUCUCUAUGGCUUGAAGCAAGCCUCGAGAUAGUGGAACCAGAAAUUGUCGUGUUCUUCUGGAUGCAGGCUUUGUCCAGACUCAAUCUAACAAUUCUUUGUUCGUUAAGAGAUAUGGUUCUAACCUUGUAGUUGUUCUUGUUUAUGUUGAUGACCUGUUGUUUACAGGAAAUGAUUCAGAGAUGAUUUCUGCCCUAAUGUCGAUUUUACACUCAAAUUUUGAGAUCAAGGAUCUGGGACAGUUGCAUUACUUUCUUGGCUUGGAGAUUGCUCGAUCUAAACGAGGUAUUUCUGUUUGUCAGCGUAAAUAUACCUUGGAGUUGCUUGAAGAUUUUGGUAUAUUAGGCUGUAAACCCAUUGCUAUUUGCAACUCCCAUAGACACUAGAGAAAAAAGCUCGGUCUUGAAUCUGGAAGCUACUUGAUGAUCCUUUGAUAUAUAGGAAGCUCACCGGUAAGUUAUAUAUCUCAGUCUCACAAGGCCAGACAUAAGCUUCUAUGUCACCAAAUUAAGUCAAUACAUGUCAGCUCCCAGAACAGCUAAUCUACAGGCCGCAUUUCGUGUUUUGCCUUAUCUGAAAACAAAUCAUGCACAGGGUCUGUUUUACUCAGCUACAUCUGAUACUCGACUGAGUGCCUAUACCGAUGCCGAUUGGACAUUAUGUCCCGAUUCACGCAGAUCUGUAACAGGUUUCUAUGUGUUCGUUGGGAACUCUCUAGUCUCAUGGCAAUCGAAGAAACAACAGACCAUUUCUCGGAGUAGUGCAGAGUCCGAGUAUAGAGCGAUGACUCAAACAUGCUGUGAGUUAGUAUGGAUUCAUACUUUGUUGUUUGAGUUGGGAAUCACUUCUCAAUAGCUUGUUUCAUUGUAUUGUGAUAAUCUUUCGGCUAUACAUAUUGUUAACAAUCCCACGUUUCUUAAACGGACGAAACACAUUGAGUUGGACUGUCA